rnacentral:ncRNA from 2 species
CAACGUUCUCAGGGCGGGGUGAAAUUCCCCACCGGCGGUAUCAGGCGAAAGCCUGGAGCCCGCGAGCGCUUCCGGCGGUGUCGGAAGGUCAGCAGAUCCGGUGAGAUGCCGGAGCCGACGGUAUAGUCCGGAUGGAAGAGGACAUGG